UACAGAGGAUGCAAGCGUUAUCCGGAAUUAUUGGGCGUAAAGCGUCCGCAGGUGGUUUUGGUAGUCUGCUGUCAAAGCGCGAGGCUCAACUUCGUAUCGGCGGUGGAAACUCCAAGACUAGAGCUAGGUAGGGGUCACGGGAAUUCCCAGUGUAGCGGUGAAAUGCGUAGAUAUUGGGAAGAACACCAGCGGCGAAAGCGCGUGACUGGGCCUGAGCUGACACUCAUGGACGAAAGCUAGGGGAGCGAAAGGG
rnacentral:rRNA from 1 species